AGAGUUUGAUCCUGGCUCAGGAUGAACGCUAGCUACAGGCUUAACACAUGCAAGUCGAGGGGCAGCAUGAACUUAGCUUGCUAAGUUUGAUGGCGACCGGCGCACGGGUGAGUAACACGUAUCCAACCUGCCGAUGACUCGGGGAUAGCCUUUCGAAAGAAAGAUUAAUACCCGAUGGCAUAGUUCUUCCGCAUGGUAGAACUAUUAAAGAAUUUCGGUCAUCGAUGGGGAUGCGUUCCAUUAGGUUGUUGGCGGGGUAACGGCCCACCAAGCCUUCGAUGGAUAGGGGUUCUGAGAGGAAGGUCCCCCACAUUGGAACUGAGACACGGUCCAAACUCCUACGGGAGGCAGCAGUGAGGAAUAUUGGUCAAUGGGCGAGAGCCUGAACCAGCCAAGUAGCGUGAAGGAUGACUGCCCUAUGGGUUGUAAACUUCUUUUAUAUGGGAAUAAAGUGAGCCACGUGUGGCUUUUUGUAUGUACCAUACGAAUAAGGAUCGGCUAACUCCGUGCCAGCAGCCGCGGUAAUACGGAGGAUCCGAGCGUUAUCCGGAUUUAUUGGGUUUAAAGGGAGCGUAGGCGGACUAUUAAGUCAGCUGUGAAAGUUUGCGGCUCAACCGUAAAAUUGCAGUUGAUACUGGUCGUCUUGAGUGCAGUAGAGGUAGGCGGAAUUCGUGGUGUAGCGGUGAAAUGCUUAGAUAUCACGAAGAACUCCGAUUGCGAAGGCAGCUCACUAGACUGUCACUGACACUGAUGCUCGAAAGUGUGGGUAUCAAACAGGAUUAGAUACCCUGGUAGUCCACACAGUAAACGAUGAAUACUCGCUGUUUGCGAUAUACAGUAAGCGGCCAAGCGAAAGCGUUAAGUAUUCCACCUGGGGAGUACGCCGGCAACGGUGAAACUCAAAGGAAUUGACGGGGGCCCGCACAAGCGGAGGAACAUGUGGUUUAAUUCGAUGAUACGCGAGGAACCUUACCCGGGCUUGAAUUGCAACUGAAUGAUGUGGAGACAUGUCAGCCGCAAGGCGGUUGUGAAGGUGCUGCAUGGUUGUCGUCAGCUCGUGCCGUGAGGUGUCGGCUUAAGUGCCAUAACGAGCGCAACCCUUGUUGUCAGUUACUAACAGGUUCCGCUGAGGACUCUGACAAGACUGCCAUCGUAAGAUGUGAGGAAGGUGGGGAUGACGUCAAAUCAGCACGGCCCUUACGUCCGGGGCUACACACGUGUUACAAUGGGGGGUACAGAAGGCGGCUACCUGGUGACAGGAUGCUAAUCCCAAAAACCUCUCUCAGUUCGGAUCGAAGUCUGCAACCCGACUUCGUGAAGCUGGAUUCGCUAGUAAUCGCGCAUCAGCCAUGGCGCGGUGAAUACGUUCCCGGGCCUUGUACACACCGCCCGUCAAGCCAUGGGAGCCGGGGGUACCUGAAGUGCGUAACCGCGAGGAGCGCCCUAGGGUAAAACUGGUGACUGGGGCUAAGUCGUAACAAGGUAGCCGUACCGGAAGGUGCGGCUG
rnacentral:rRNA from 1 species